UACGAAGGGGGCUAGCGUUGUUCGGAAUUACUGGGCGUAAAGCGUGCGCAGGCGGCUUCUCAAGUCAGGGGUGAAAGCCCAGAGCUCAACUCUGGAAUUGCCUUUGAGACUGAGUGGCUUGAGUACGAGAGAGGUGAGUGGAAUUCCCAGUGUAGAGGUGAAAUUCGUAGAUAUUGGGAAGAACACCGGUGGCGAAGGCGGUUCGCUGGCUCGAUACUGACGCUGAGGUGCGAAAGCGUGGGGAGCGAACAGG
rnacentral:rRNA from 1 species